AUACGAAGGUCCCGAGCGUUGUUCGGAAUCACUGGGCGUAAAGGGAGCGUAGGCGGUUUGGUAAGUCAGAUGUGAAAUCUCGGGGCUCAACCCCGAAACUGCAUUUGAUACUGCCAGACUUGAGUAAUGGAGGGGUAGCUGGAAUUCUCGGUGUAGCAGUGAAAUGCGUAGAUAUCGAGAGGAACACUCGUGGCGAAGGCGAGCUACUGGACACUUACUGACGCUGAGGCUCGAAGGUUAGGGUAGCGAAAGGGAUUAGAAACCCCAGUAGUCC
rnacentral:rRNA from 1 species